GACAGAGGAUGCAAGCGUUAUCCGGAAUGAUUGGGCGUAAAGCGUCCGCAGGUGGCUGUGUAAGUCUGCUGUCAAAGAGCAAAGCUCAACUUUGUAAAGGCAGUGGAAACUACACGGCUAGAGUGCGUUCGGGGCAGAGGGAAUUCCUGGUGUAGCGGUGAAAUGCGUAGAGAUCAGGAAGAACACCGGUGGCGAAGGCGCUCUGCUAGGCCGCAACUGACACUGAGGGACGAAAGCUAGGGGAGCGAAUGGG
rnacentral:rRNA from 1 species